UUAGGUGGUACAAAUGAAAUUGUGGUUUUUGCCAUUGAAAGUAAUGGCAAAAACCACAAUUACUUUUGCACCAACUUAAUA
ensembl:miRNA